rnacentral:rRNA from 1 species
UGGGCAACCUGCCCCUCUCUCUGGGAUAACCCCCGGGGAAACCGGAGCUAAUACCGGAUACUCCGGCUGGAUCGCAUGGUCCGGCCGGGAAAGGUCCGCCGGAGAGGGAGGGGCCCGCGGCCUAUCAGCUUGUUGGGCGGGGUCAUGGCUCACCAAGGCGACGACGGGUAGCUGGUCUGAGAGGACGACCAGCCACACCGGAACUGAGAUACGGUCCAGACUCCGUACGGGAGGCG